rnacentral:rRNA from 1 species
GACGAACGCUGGCGGCGUGCUUAACACAUGCAAGUCGAACGGAAAGGCCCUGCUUUUGUGGGGUGCUCGAGUGGCGAACGGGUGAGUAACACGUGAGUAGCCUGCCCUUGACUUUGGGAUAACUUCAGGAAGCUGGGGCUAAUACCGGAUAGGAGCUCCUGCUGCAUGGUGGGGGUUGGAAAGUUUCGGCGGUUGGGGAUGGACUCGCGGCUUAUCAGCUUGUUGGUGGGGUAGUGGCUUACCAAGGCUUUGACGGGUAGCCGGCCUGAGAGGGUGACCGGCCACAUUGGGACUGAGAUACGGCCCAGACUCCUACGGGAGGCAGCAGUGGGGAAUAUUGCACAAUGGGCGGAAGCCUGAUGCAGCAACGCCGCGUGCGGGAUGACGGCCUUCGGGUUGUAAACCGCUUUCGCCUGUGACGAAGCGUGAGUGACGGUAAUGGGUAAAGAAGCACCGGCUAACUACGUG